ensembl:lncRNA
UGUGUCCAAUAUCACACGCAGUGAGAGCCUCCAGAAGCGUCUCCAAAGAGAAUUCUAGAAUUGUACCUUCUGGCAUGUGAAAGGCCAGGGUCACGUGAUCCCACAGAUAAAACACGUUAAGCACAUCUUCUACGCUAACUUGUUUCUCAUCUCUGUUUUUUAGGCAGUCUUUAGCGGUGUGUUUGAGAGAUGGCUUGAGCACGCCAGAUGAUCUCUCCACCCCUGUAAGCGCACACACCCUCAUCAUUAUCCCCCAACUCUGGGUAACCUUCAUAAUCAUGAACAUCAGGGCUAUGAAUCAGCACAACGUACAUGACCUCCUGCUUGUAGAUUACAGUCUCAUAAACUCGAAGGACAGGAUCUUCUUCUCCACAGAACUGGCUUCUCUACGCAUUCAUCAGCCAGUGAGAAAGUGAACCGGAAGUUUCGAUAGCGAGAGCGUUCCUUAAACACAGGAGAGGUGGUGAAUUCACACAGGAAACCCUCCUCUCGCCUUCUCUCUUCUGGACUCAAAGCAGGGAAGAGUUUCUCCAGGUACCUCUGCUCUGCAGUAGUGAUCUCGUCUUCACCAAUCAGUGUCCCCCACCACAAGAGUCUCCUAUCCCCUCCACGAAAUCCUGUGAGGUCCAGAAUCCCUGUCAUACCAUCUGUAGUUGUGACGUGAGAUACUAUUGAACAAUGGAACUCUACAGGUCGAGGAUAAUGUGGAACUACGCACAUACGUGGUUCUUCAUUUGGUUGAGCCACUGUUUUAAGACUCAUGGGCAAUUUCCUCCUCUUCAUAACAUCUAUAACCACAUGUUCCCUACAUACAUAAUGUUCCUCGAAUCCCCUCGCAUUCUUUCGGUCUCGGAUUGGGUUCUGUUGAGACAAGGAUUAAAAAUUUGUUGCGGUUUGUUUUGAAUUUUAAUUUUUUCCUUCAUUUUUCUUAUUCAGUUAAUUUUAAGGAUGAAUUAAACCCUUUCACUGCGUAAUGAAUUAAAAUUUCAUACCUCGUUUUCAGGUUGAGCGGCCAUCCUUUAGCUUCUACUGGUGCGA